UACGUAGGGCGCAAGCGUUGUCCGGAAUUAUUGGGCGUAAAGAGCUCGUAGGUGGUGUGUCGCGUCUGCCGUGAAAGCCCGGGGCUUAACUCCGGGUCUGCGGUGGAUACGGGCAGACUAGAGGCAGGUAGGGGAGAACGGAAUUCCCGGUGUAGCGGUGAAAUGCGCAGAUAUCGGGGAGGAACACCGGGUGGCGAAGGCGGUUCGCUGGGC
rnacentral:rRNA from 1 species